AGAAUAAACGCUGGCGGCGUGCCUAACACAUGCAAGUCGAACGAGAAAGCCUUAAUCUUCGGAUGGGCGAGUAAAGUGGCGCACGGGUGAGUAACGCGUAGGUAACCUACCCCCGGGACCGGGAUAACAGUGCGAAAGUGCUGCUAAUACCGGAUACGAUUGUGGAGCGGGAGCUUUGCGAUGAAAGUCGGCCUCUCGCAGAAGCCGAUGUUCGGGGAUGGGCCUGCGUCCUAUCAGCUGGUUGGUAGGGUAACGGCCUACCAAGGCGACGACGGGUAGCUGGUCUGAGAGGAUGAUCAGCCACACUGGCACUGGAACACGGGCCAGACUCCUACGGG
rnacentral:rRNA from 1 species